GGUGAGUAACACGUGGGUAACNUGCCNGUAAGACUGGGAUAANUCCGGGAAACCGGGGCUAAUACCGGAUGCUUGAUUGAACCGCAUGGUUCAAUCAUAAAAGGUGGCUUUNAGNUACCACUUACAGAUGGACCCGCGGCGCAUUAGCUAGUUGGUGAGGUAACGGCUCACCAAGGCGACGAUGCGUAGCCGACCUGAGAGGGUGAUCGGCCACACUGGGACUGAGACACGGCCCAGACUCCUACGGGAGGCAGCAGUAGGGAAUCUUCCGCAAUGGACGAAAGUCUGACGGAGCAACGCCGCGUGAGUGAUGAAGGUUUUCGGAUCGUAAAACUCUGUUGUUAGGGAAGAACAAGUACCGUUCGAAUAGGGCGGUACCUUGACGGUACCUAACCAGAAAGCCACGGCUAACUACGUGCCAGCAGCCGCGGUAAUACGUAGGUGGCAAGCGUUGUCCGGAAUUAUUGGGCGUAAAGCGCGCGCAGGCGGUUUCUUAAGUCUGAUGUGAAAGCCCCCGGCUCAACCGGGGAGGGUCAUUGGAAACUGGGGAACUUGAGUGCAGAAGAGGAGAGUGGAAUUCCACGUGUAGCGGUGAAAUGCGUAGAGAUGUGGAGGAACACCAGUGGCGAAGGCGACUCUCUGGUCUGUAACUGACGCUGAGGCGCGAAAGCGUGGGGAGCGAACAGGAUUAGAUACCCUGGUAGUCCACGCC
rnacentral:rRNA from 1 species